rnacentral:rRNA from 1 species
CGUAGGGUGCGAGCGUUAAUCGGAAUUACUGGGCGUAAAGCGUGCGCAGGCGGUUGUGUAAGACAGGCGUGAAAUCCCCGGGCUCAACCUGGGAACUGCGCUUGUGACUGCACGGCUAGAGUACGGCAGAGGGGGGUGGAAUUCCACGUGUAGCAGUGAAAUGCGUAGAGAUGUGGAGGAACACCAAUGGCGAAGGCAGCCCCCUGGGUCGAUACUGACGCUCAUGCACGAAAGCGUGGGUAGCAAACAGGAUUAGAUACCCUGGUAGUCCACGCCCUAAACGAUGUCAACUAGGUGUUGGGAGGGUAAAACCUUUUAGUACCGGAGCUAACGCGUGAAGUUGACCGCCUGGGGAGUACGGCCGCAAGGUUA